UGGGGUUUUGGUCUCCUUCUCUGCUGCGUUUCUUCUGCUAAUUCUUAGGCCCAGAGGAAAGGUGGGCGCAAGUCGCUGAUUCCAUGGCGCUGGUGAUGUCUUGGUUAAUUUGUGUUGCUCCUGUUGGACCAUACUUUUUCUUGGUGCUUGAGGAUUAGGGUUCAAGGGAUGCCGACGUUGGCAUCUGCUACGUGACUCUUCUUUCGGCGUGGCUCAUGACUGGUGGAUCUGAAGUCAGAGUAAUAUGGUUUUUUUCUGAUGGUCCAUAAUUAUGUCCGAUCAUACAGUCAACAUUUGAGGAUUAAGUAAUUCAGCACUGCACUACUCUUCUGGAGAUCCCUACCUCAUACUCUUUGUUCUCUUCUUUGUUGAAAAUUUUCUGUUGCCAUCAUACUCUGUGUUACAUGUUAACAACAACAACAAGAGCGGUUUCUAGGCACUGAUUGCAGCGGAAUUUUGAAAUGGGGGUUGCAAAUAAAACUUCUUGGUUUCUUAAGAUGAAUCCCAUCGGGAAGUGACUCGCUCGAAGGCUGACAACCCUCUUUAUGGUACUUCACUCGUUGAAUACGCUCAUAUUGAGCAAUGGAUUGACUUUGCGCCUACAGAGAUUGCCCCAAGAGUUGGAUUUGGACCUUAUCUUGCUGGGUUGAGGAAGCUGCCAUAUCUUCUUUGAAGAGGGCCCUUGGUGCUCUGAACACUCAUCUUACGUCAAAUAUAUCUCGUCGGCCAUGCUGUUACUUUGGCCGAUAUUUUUAUGAUUUGUAACUUAUAUCUUGGAUUCAAUUGAAUCUUCAUUAAAAGUUUUACCUCUGAGUUUCCGAAAGA